UGUGAUGGUCGCGCAGUUGCGUCAAAUUUUUGACGAGGAAAGUCCGGACUCCAUACAGACAUGAUGCUGGAUAAUCUCCAGCGGAGCAUCGUUAAGGAUGUUUUAGGGAAAGUGCAACAGAAAGAUACCGCCAUUAAUUUGGUAAGGGUGAAAUGGUGUGGUAAGAGCGCACCGGGUUUCUUGGUGACAAGAACCGCUUGGCAAACCCCAUCAGGAGCAAAAUCAAAUAGGUGUAAUCGAACUUAAAAUUUUAUUUUAAGUUCCUAGUUGUCUGUAACUAGAUAUUAUACGGGUAGGUUGCUUGAGGUAAAUGGUAACAUUUAUCCUAGAUAAAUAACUGCGGUAGCUUUGGCUAUACAGAAUCCGGCUUAUAGACCAUCAACUUCU
rnacentral:RNase_P_RNA from 1 species